rnacentral:tRNA from 1 species
GGGGGCGUAGUUCAACCGGCAGAGCGCCAGUUUCUGAAGCUGGAAGUUGAAGGUUCGAAUCCUUCCGCCCCUUCCA